rnacentral:lncRNA from 1 species
CUAUGUCUAGCAAUUCUAUUUAUCUUUUAUCUCCUUUUCUUUCUUUCUUUAGAAUUUUUACCUUCUCCCUUCACAUUCAAUAAAUAAAUAAAAAAAAUUGUAUUAAAUAAACAACUGUUGCUCGAAAUGUUUCUUGGGUAUUUAUUGGAGAGUCCAAACAUUCCAUGGAAGCCCAAAGGUAAAACAGUGGCCCCUUCCUCAAAUCGCUCACAUAACAGUACCCUCCCCCAAAUAUAAGAUGAGGCAAAUUUGGAGUCAAUGAUGGCAGACUUUCAAUUUGGAUUCCGAGUCGAAAAUCAGCGAUCAGCAACGUUAUUGAUUGGAAGCAAUUAAAGGCUUCAACGACAAGACACUUCUGCUCCCGAGAAAAUUCACGGACAGUUCAUGACUUUGCAGGUCCUUUUUCUAUUAAAAUUAUCCUAACUUUUUUUUACUCAAUUUUAUGAUAUUUAUUUAUGUAACAAUUUGAGAGGAUAUCACAAAUGCUCUAAAUAUUAAAAUUCGAACUUGUGAAAUAUAUACAGAUAAAUCAUAGUUGAUUGAAGUGUGGGUCAAUCUUUUGAAGUUAAGUUGGAAAUAAUAUCAUAUUAUUCCAAAAGAGAGGUCAUUUUGUAGUUGGAAUGAUUUGCUGUUGUAAUUGAAUUUUUCAUAGUUUUUCCCCUUUAAUUUAUGCUUUUUGGUUAUCUCCUUAAUUGUGGGGCAUUUUCAGUUUAACAUAGGUGGUCUCAUAUUUACUUGGAUAUGUCACGACCCGGAUUUUCCACUCUCGGGAGUCGUGAUGGCGCCUACUAAUGGGAGCUAGGCAAGUCAAACCUUAACUACUUGCUGCAUUUUCAUUUUUGCUUCUUUAACAAACAUGAGUCGAUAAUAUGAUAAAAGCGGAAUUUUAAAUAAAUAAGCGGAAGUCAACAAUUAUAUAUCUUAAAGGCUACGUCCAUUACAACUUUUAAAAAACCUCAAAUACCCCAAAACCUAGUGUCACAGUGUCAAAGACUGUUUAAGAGUUACUACAUACAAGGUCUGAAGAAAUACAAUACACUGUCUCUGAACAAAGGAAACGAAACAGGAAAUAGAGAUAGAGGGAGACGCCAGGGUCUGCGGACGCCUGCAGGCGCCUGCAGGUCUAUCUUGGGUCUCCGAGUGGACUGAAGGAAGCCCUCCAACUACUGCCCGAAAGCUGCUCCUGAAUCUGCACACAGUACAGAGUGUAGUAUCAGCACAACCGACCCCAUGUGCUGGUAAGUAUCUAGCAUAACCUCGGCGAAGUAGUGACGAGGCUAGGACCAGACUACCAAAUAAACCUGUGCAACGGAAAAGAAAUACAGAAAUAACCAGUCAAUGUGGGAGGGGGAAACAUGUUGUGGGGGCGACAAUAGUUCCGCAUAGAUAAGCAUCAAGUAAGGAAAGAACGACAUAACUAGAAUAUCAACAAAGAAGCAGAAAUCAACAAUUGCACAGCAUCACCCUUCGUGCUUUUACUCUCAGCCUCACCAAAGCAGUCAUAUAAUAAAAACGUCCACGGCAUCACCCUUCGUGCUUUUACUCUCGUCCUUACCAAAACAAUCAUAUAAUCAAAAUGUGCACGAAAUCACCCUUCGUGCUUUUACUCUCUUUCCUCAACAUAUGAUCAAUAGAAUCGGCACGGAAUGGUACGUCGUGCGGCACGGCAUCACCCUUCGUGCGGCACGGCAUCACCCUUCGUGCUUUUACACCCUUUCCUCACAAUAACAAACAAUGCACGGCAUCAUCCUUCGUGCUUUAAUACUCUUCCUUACCCUAACAACAAUCACAAACAAAGGGGCAAGGGAAUAAAUAAAAUAAUAAUAAC